rnacentral:rRNA from 1 species
AACGAACGCUGGCGGCAGGCUUAACGCAUGCAAGUCGAGCGCCCCACAAGGGGAGCGGCAGACGGGUGAGUAACGCGUGGGAAUCUACCCAUCUCUACGGAAUAACGCAUGGAAACGUGUGCUAAUACCGUAUACGUCCUUCGGGAGAAAGAUUUAUCGGAGAUGGAUGAGCCCGCGUGGGAUUAGCUAGUUGGUGGGGUAAAGGCCUAUCAAGGCGACGAUCCAUAGCUGGUCUGAGAGGAUGAUCAGCCACACUGGGACUGAGACACGGCCCAGACUCCUACGGGAGGCAGCAGUGGGGAAUAUUGGACAAUGGGCGCAAGCCUGAUCCAGCCAUGCCGCGUGAGUGAUGAAGGCCCUAGGGUUGUAAAGCUCUUUCACCGGUGAAGAUAAUGACGGUAACCGGAGAAGAAGCCCCGGCUAACUUCGUGCCAGCCGCCGCCGUAAAAC